rnacentral:rRNA from 1 species
UACGAAGGGGGCUAGCGUUGCUCGGAAUCACUGGGCGUAAAGGGCGCGUAGGCGGCGUUUUAAGUCGGGGGUGAAAGCCUGUGGCUCAACCACAGAAUGGCCUUCGAUACUGGGACGCUUGAGUAUGGUAGAGGUUGGUGGAACUGCGAGUGUAGAGGUGAAAUUCGUAGAUAUUUGCAAGAACACCGGUGGCGAAGGCGGCCAACUGGACCAUUACUGACGCUGAGGCGCGAAAGCGUGGGGAGCAAACAGG